ACAUAAUUAUGGCAAAAUGCAUACUUUUACCAUAUCUGUAUACCUAAAUAAUAUAAUACAGGUACCUUCCUUCUACUAGGUCUUUAAGAUUAUAAUUAUCACACUAAUAUUUUAGAUAAUUUUGGAUGUGUCUGUCUAUGUUUGUUACUUACUUCUUCGUGCACAAACGAACAGAUUUUGAUGAAACAGACUUGGACCAUUUUUUUUUAUUUUUUCAUGAAAUUCCCGAGUGCGCCUCGUACUAGAAAAAAAGAAAAUAUGUAUUUACCAGUCCGCGCCACUUGAGGUAACUUAUUUUUGUGCGAUCGUAUCCGCAUAGUAAAAGUAGGUAUAUUGGCAUUGCUGUCUCAACUCAAUUUUUUUAUUUCCUCGUUAAGGUACAAUUUACAAGUGUAAGUAAUAAUGUUAUGGUACACCUUGACCUUAACUACAGAUAAAGUUACUGCGUCCUUAACGGUUUAUGUGAGCGGUCAUUGCCCGCUAGCGCGCAGCGCUGGGCGCGGACGGCGAUAGCACAGUUGAAAUGUUGAUUGUAGUAUCAGCGAGCGUCGCCCCAUGACAGGCCCCUCCCCGUCAGAGCAGCACGUGAAACAACUGCCAAAGUGCCAACGACCGCGAGGCGCGGCGCGAAAUGCGCUGGCCGCCAUUUCAAGCGCGAAAGGUGAGGAGGGAGCCCCCGCCCCCCGCACCUCACCCCGCUCAUGCUGCCCGCCCGGCCACACACACGACAGAAGCGCGCCGCGCUGUAAUUCGUGUUCUGUGAGUCAAUGACGUCAUGAUUUGAUAUUAUUCUCCAAGUUACCAAUUUCUCUACUCACAUUCCUAAAGUAAUUAUUAGUUUGAAUAGAAAUGUGUGAAAAUAACCAAGAAACAAUGGAUACUUUGAAUACGGACUCGAUGGACGAUAUCAACGAUGGACCAAGCACAAGCUUCGUUACGAUGGAACCAGAAUUCAACAUAGCUGAAAGUAAGCGUUUUCCAAUAGUUUAUACAACGAAACUAGACGACAUGCUGAUAUUCAGAACAGAAUUACCUGAAAUGCAUAUAUCCGACAUCGUAGACUGUAUAAUCACAGAAAGUCAUCCUAAACAUCACGGCCAACUGAAAAGAAAAUAUUCAGAAACCCAAAAAAUGACGUUCGAAGAUUUAUCGCAUAAAAUAGAUAAAAUGAAUAGUAAAGUGGCCCGAACAGCUAAUCGUAAUAAAACGCUACUCUCUAUGUGCAAACCAUUUAACAUUGUCCUGGCAGAUUUUUCCUAUGCGCUACGUACGGACGAACUGACACGUGAUCGAAGGAAAAAUAUUAUAAUUCCUAAAAGAAAAUCAGUUCCUAAAUGCGUGGAUAAAUUGUUGCCAAUGUAUAGCAAAUCACAGACGUUUAAAUGUGGGUUAUUAUAUGAUCAACAACGACAAGUAGCUGACAUAUAUUCUCUAGACAAAAAGUUUUCCACGAAGGAAUAUAUAAGAAUUCAUAACAUCGAACAAAAUGAUGAGGAUUAUCAUAGGUUGAAAACGUGUAAAAACAUAAAUGAAGUGACAUGUUGCUGUUGGUAUAACAGAGAAGCAUUUAUAAAAAAGUUAUCUCUCCAUCCCCUUGAAACAUUAAGGUUCAUGAGGAAACCACAUGAGUGUCUAAUUAAUGAUUGCAGUUGUUGCUGCAAAAACAAUAACUACCCACCGAAAAGGUCAUCAUACAAAGGAACUAGUUCACAGAAAACAGAAAUAACUGCUAGCGUUUGGUUUACACAUACUAGAUUAAAUACUGUAAAAAUGAUUGAUUCUGAUGCACGAGGACCGAAACUUAUUGCAAAAUCUUUGAAUUUCGAUCCAAAACAAUCAAUGAAAUACCCCAGAUCGAAUCAUUACCAAUACAAAACCAACAAUAUAAAAAUGGCGCAUUCAAUAAACAUAUAUAUAGGAGAAGAAUAUUAUGAAAUUGGAAAAGAUGGUCAAUUAAGGACACAUUUAAAACAUUUUGAUAAAGAAGCAUCUAAACUAAAACAGAUUACUGGUAAUGAGCUAACAUAUACCUCGAGUAACGUUUGUUGUUGGUACAAACGCGAAGAGUUUGCAGCUCAAUUACUAAAGCUCGGAGUAAAACGCACCUCUGUUAAUUUUAUAAGAUGUGUCCACUCAUGUCCUGUAAGAAAAUGUAACUGCUGCUGUAAACCUUUGAUUCAACGGAAAGUCGAUCUUAACUCUUGGCGGAUUACAACUAGACAUACGAAUGAUUUGGCAAGUAAAGAAGUCGGCAUCCAAAUACAAUUUCCAAUAGCAAGGAGGCGUAAUCAAGUUAGCAAGACGACUAUUUCCGAUAGAAAUCUCGUUGCACCUAUGUUACGUUGUGUUGUACCUGUGCGAGUAGAUUUACAAAGUUUGAAAGUUCCCAAACUUGACUCGUCUUUUUUCGUUUCCUUAUCAACGUUAGACACUGUAGAGAAAACUAGAAUGGCGGCUGAAGAUAGCUCGCUACUUCCAGCUACUAAAACAAUUGAUUCUGAAAAUGAAUUAUUUCCAACUGUACGGGUUACGAUAACCAAAAUAGCAACUCAACAAAACAGGUAUAAAACAAUAAUCGAAGGAGUCGAUUUAAAUAUGGCAUCCACAAGGGAAUUACAAAUGUUGGAUUUGAUUUUUCGAGCAGUAGACAGCAGUCUAAUCACGGUUAACAGUUUUAAAAAGGAGCAAGCACGAAAACAAAAUCAAAAAGUAACACAAACCAUAAAAGAACCACGAAGCCAACAAAAACCACCAAUAAAACAACAACCACCAAUACAACAAAUACCACUAAUCCAAGAAAAACCACCAAUCCGACAGAAACCACGAAUCCUACGAAAACAACCAAUCCAGCAAAAACCACCAAUACAACAAUCACCGCCAAUCCAACAAAUUCCACCAAUCCUAGAAACACCACCAAUCCGACAAAAACCACGAAUUCUACAAAAACCACGAAUCCAACAAAAACCAUCAACCCAACAAAAACCACCAAUACAACUAAUUUCACCAAUACAAAAAAUUCCACCAAACCGACAAAUACCACCAAUCCUAGAAACACCAACAAUACAACAAAAACCACCAAUACAAGAAAAAUCACGAAUCCAACAAAUUCCACCAAUACAACAUGAACCACCAAUUCAAGAAAUACCACCACCAAUCCAAGAAAUACCACCAAUACAACAAAAACCACGAAUCCAACAAAACCGACCAAACCGACAGAAACCACCAAACCGACAGAAACCACCAAACCGACAAAAACGACCAAUACAACAAAUUCCACCAACACAACAAAUUCCACCAAUACAACAGAAACCACCAAUACAACAAAUACCACCAAACCGAACACCACUAAUGCUACAAAUAUCACCAAUGCUACAAA